AUGCUCCUCCGCCCUCCUCGCCUCCCACGCCUCUCUCCUCGCCGCCUCCGCUCGGACUCUCCGAUGGCUUCCACGCUCGCCUUGCUCAGGCCGUCCGCGCCGAGCCCGGCGACGAACCUGAGGGCGCCAUUCAGAUCUCGGGUCUCCACUAGAGUGUCCGUCGGGUCGGCAGUCGCAGCGGGCGCCGACACGCUCUUCGCCGACUACAAACCCACCACCGCAUUCCUUUUCCCCGGCCAGGGUGCUCAGGCUGUUGGAAUGGGUAAAGAAGCUCUUAAUGUUCGAGCAGCUGCAGAACUAUUUGAUAAGGCAAAUGAUAUACUUGGCUAUGACUUGCUGAAUCUUUGCAUCGAUGGACCAAAAGAAAAGCUGAACUCAACAGUGAUCAGUCAGCCAGCUAUAUAUGUUACCAGCCUUGCAGCUGUAGAAGUGUUGCGCGCACGUGAAGAAGGCCAAUCUGUAAUUAACUCCGUAGAUGUCACAUGUGGUCUCAGCUUGGGAGAAUAUACCGCGCUUGCAUUUGCUGGUGCCUUUAGCUUUGAGGAUGGUCUGAAGCUUGUCAAGCUUAGAGGAGAAGCCAUGCAGGAUGCCUCAGACGCUGCCAAUAGUGCGAUGGUUAGUGUCAUUGGUCUAGAUUCAGAAAAGGUGCAACAAUUAUGCGAUGCUGCAAAUGAGGAUGUGGAUGAAAAGGAAAGAGUUCAAAUAGCAAAUUUUCUCUGUCCUGGUAACUAUGCAGUUUCUGGUGGUGUGAAGGGUAUUGAAGCAGUUGAAGCCAAAGCAAAGUCUUUUAAGGCCAGAAUGACGGUUCGCCUAGCUGUUGCUGGUGCUUUCCACACAAGCUUCAUGCAACCCGCUGUCUCGAGAUUGGAGUCUGCAUUGGCUGCUACAGAGAUUAGAUCACCGAGAAUCCCAGUAAUCUCCAAUGUUGAUGCACAGCCCCACUCCGAUCCUGAGACAAUCAAGAAGAUUUUGGCACAACAGGUAACCUCUCCUGUGCAAUGGGAGACUACUGUGACAACUCUUUUGGGUAGAGGCCUUGAGAAGAGCUAUGAACUCGGACCUGGAAAGGUUAUAGCAGGAAUCAUUAAACGGAUCAACAAAGGUGCCAGCAUCGAGAACAUUGGCGCAUGA
rnacentral:rRNA from 1 species